AGAGUUUGAUCCUGGCUCAGGACGAACGCUGGCGGCGUGCCUAACACAUGCAAGUCGAGCGGAGUUGAUCGACGGAAGCCUUCGGGCGGAAGAUGAUUAACUUAGCGGCGGAUGGGUGAGUAACGCGUGGGCAACCUGCCUCGAAGACCGGGAUAACAGUUCGAAAGGGCUGCUAAUACCGGAUGUGGUCAAGUGUCAGCAUGGGCAUUUGAUUAAAGGGGAAACCCGUUUCGAGAUGGGCCCGCGUCCUAUCAGCUAGUUGGUGAGGUAAAGGCUCACCAAGGCAAUGACGGGUAGCCGGCCUGAGAGGGUGACCAGCCACACUGGAACUGAGACACGGUCCAGACUCCUACGGGGGGCAGCAGUGGGGAAUCUUCCACAAUGGGCGAAAGCCUGAUGGAGCGACGCCGCGUGAGCGAAGAAGGCCUUCGGGUUGUAAAGCUCUGUCUGGAGGGACGAAGAAAGUGACGGUACCUCCGGAGGAAGCCACGGCUAACUACGUGCCAGCAGCCGCGGUAACACGUAGGAGGCAAACGUUAUCCGGAUUCACUGGGCGUAAAGCGCGUGCAGGUGGUUUCGUAAGUAGGGCGUGAAAGCUCCCGGCUCAACUGGGAGAGGCCGUACUAAACUGCGGAGCUAGAGGAUGGUAGAGGGAGGUGGAAUUCCAGGUGUAGUGGUGAAAUGCGCAGAUAUCUGGAGGAACACCAGUGGCGAAGGCGGCCUCCUGGACCAUACCUGACACUCAGACGCGAAAGCUAGGGUAGCAAACGGAAUUAGAGACUCCGGUAGUCCUAGCCCUAAACGAUGCAGACUAGGCGUCGGCGGUUUAAUCACCGUCGGUGUCCAAGCUAACGCGAUAAGUCUGCCGCCUGAGGACUACGGCCGCAAGGCUAAAACUCAAAGGAAUUGACGGGUCCCCGCACAAGCAGCGGAGCGUGUGGUUUAAUUCGAUGCUCCGCGAAGAACCUUACCUGGGUUUGACAUAACAGUGGUAGAGAAACGAAAGUGGACCGACCCUUCGGGGAGCUGUUACAGGUGUUGCAUGGCUGUCGUCAGCUCGUGUCGUGAGAUGUUCGGUUAAGUCCGCUAACGAGCGCAACCCGCGCUGUGUGUUACAAGUGUCACACAGUACCGCCGGUAUUAAGUCGGAGGAAGGUGCGGAUGACGUCAAGUCAGCAUGACCUUUAUAUCCAGGGCUACACACACGCUACAAUGGUCGGUACAACGAGUUGCGAACCCGCGAGGGUAAGCUAAUCUCUUAAAGCCGAUCUCAGUUCGGAUUGUAGGCUGCAACUCGCCUACAUGAAGCCGGAAUCGCUAGUAACCGCGGAUCAGCACGCCGCGGUGAAUACGUUCCCGGGCCUUGUACACACCGCCCGUCACACCAUGAGAGUUUGUAACACCCGAAGUCGGUGGGGUAACCCUUUUAGGGAACUAGCCGCCUAAGGUGGGACAGAUGAUUGGGGUGAAGUCGUAACAAGGUA
rnacentral:rRNA from 1 species